rnacentral:lncRNA from 1 species
UUCAUCACCAUCAUGAAGAUCACCAAGAAGAUUUUGUGAAGCAACGCUACAAUAUUAAUUAUUCCCGACCCAUCUUCUCUUUUCUCCCCAAUUCUUCUUCUUUUUUGGUCGAAUUCUUCUCGAUCCACUCAACCUAGCUGAUCUCUUUCAUCAAAGGGCUUUGAUCCUUGAGCCACUUUCAUCUCAACAAUCGAAACGAAUUCAAUUAAAGAAUCUUGGUAGCCAUGGGGCAAAUGUUUCGAAAGCUGUUCGAUGCAUUCUUCGGCAAUAGCGAGAUGAGGGUAUUCCAAUUCUUGUUCAUAAUUUUAUUUAUGUUUAGAUAUACAAUUUAGGGUUUUUGUACUUGUUUUGUGUUAUGUUUGACAUGUGGGUGAUAAAUUGAAAUUGAACUUCGUUAGCUCAAUUAUGAUGAUUUUAUUUUUGAUUUAAUUGUCAAGUAUCAAAACAAUCGUUAAUUGAUUAGCUUUUUGUGUUUUUCUUUUAUGGAUUUAUUUGCUUGA